rnacentral:rRNA from 1 species
AUUGAACGCUGGCGGCAUGCCUUACACAUGCAAGUCGAACGGUAACAGGUCUUCGGACGCUGACGAGUGGCGAACGGGUGAGUAAUACAUCGGAACGUGCCCAGUCGUGGGGGAUAACUACUCGAAAGAGUAGCCAAUACCGCAUACGAGCUGAGGAUGAAAGCGGGGGACCUUCGGGCCUCGCGCGGUUGGAGCGGCCGAUGGCAGAUUAGGUAGUUGGUGGGAUAAAAGCUUACCAAGCCGACGAUCUGUAGCUGGUCUGAGAGGACGACCAGCCACACUGGGACUGAGACACGGCCCAGACUCCUACGGGAGGCAGCAGUGGGGAAUUUUGGACAAUGGGCGAAAGCCUGAUCCAGCAAUGCCGCGUGCAGGAUGAAGGCCUUCGGGUUGUAAACUGCUUUUGUACGGAACGAAAAAGCUCCUUCUAAUACAGGGGGCUCAUGACGGUACCGUAAGAAUAAGCACCGGCUAACUACGUGCCAGCCGCCGCCGUAA